GAUGAACGCUAGCGGCAGGCUUAAUACAUGCAAGUCGAGGGACCGGCAAACGGGUGCGGAACACGUACACAACCUUCUUUGAAUAGGGGGAUAGCCCAUAGAAAUGUGGAUGAAUACCCCGUAAUUCGAGCUGGGUGUGCGGCUGAUUAGGUAGUUGGCGGGGUAAAUGCGCACCAAGCCUUCGAUCAGUAGCUGAUCUGAGAGCAUGAUCAGCCACACGUGCACUGUGAGACGGGCCCGACUCCUACGGGAGGCAGCAGUAAGUAAUAUUGGUGAAUGGUCGCAAGUCUAAACCAGACAUGCCGCGUGAAGGAUAAAGGUCUCUGGAUUGUAAACAUCUUUUAUAGGGGGCGCGGUACCCUAUGAAUAACCACCGGCUAACUCCGUGCCAGCAGCCUCGGUAAAAC
rnacentral:rRNA from 1 species